rnacentral:tRNA from 1 species
CGGGGUGUAGCUUAGUCUGGUAGAGCGCUAUCUUAGGGAGGUAGAGGUCGCUGGUUCGAAUCCAGUCACUCCGACCA